rnacentral:lncRNA from 1 species
UAGGGUUUAUUUUUGAGAGAGAGAGCACACACAAGUGGGGCAGGGGCAGAGAGAAGAGAACAGAGGAUCCGAAGCAGGCUCUGUGCUGACAGCAGCAAGCUGGAUGUGGUGCUUGAACUCACGAACUGAGAAAUCUGAAGUUGGACGCUCAACCAGCUAAGCCACUCAGGUGCCCCUUAUGUAACUUAUUUUCGAUUCUGUGUUGUGGAUUAUCAAAUACCAUAGUUAGCACAUGUCUUAUUAAAUCAUAUCAAAAAUACUUCUUCCAUCUGUAUAAGUUUCUGAUGUUGCGUAAAGUUACCAUGAACCACACACUUGGUAGCUCUAAACAGCAUACGUUUAUUAUUGCAGUUUCCAUGGUUACGGAGGUUUUAACUGAAUCUGCUACUCAGGGUCUCACAGUCUGCAGUCAAGGUGUACUCUGGGGGGUUGGUCUCAUCUGAGGCUUGGGGUUCUAUUUCAAGCUCACUGAUUGUUGACAGAAUUCAGUUUGGCAGUUGUAGGACUGAGGAGCCACCUUUCUUGCUGAUGACAGCUGGGAUCCACUCUGUUCCUAGAGGCCCCUGCAGUUCCUUGUCAGGUGGCCAGCUCACAAGGUGGCCAGGUUACCUCUCAGAAGCCAGCAGGAGAAUCACUCCAGUGAGCUAAAACGGGUUUAUAGAGGGGCGUCUGGGUGGCUCAGGAGGUUAAGCGGCCAAUUCUUGAUUUCUGCUCAGGUCAGGAUCUCAUGUUUUGUGAGAUCAAUCUCCCCUUCCGGCUCUGUGCUGGCAGCACAGAUACUGCUUGGGAUUCUCUCUGUCUCUGUCUCUGUCUCUCCCUCUCUCUCUCUGCCCCUCCUGCUCAUGCUCUCUCUUUUUCAAAAAUAAGUAAACUUUUAAAAAAUUUUAAAACAGGUUUAUGCAAUGUGAGUUAAUCAAAGGAGGAGCUAUCCUACGUAUUCAUAGGCCCCGCCCAUACCUGGGAGAAAGGAUGAUAGAUACAGAAGGGCAGAUAUUCUAGGGAAUAUCUUAGAAUUCUGCCCUCCCCCCCACCAUCUUCAUCUCAUUCCCAUUUUUAAAAGGUUUAGAGGUGCCUGGGUGGCUCAGUCCGUUAAGCAUCCAACUCUCAGUUUUGGCUCAGGUCAUGAAUUCAGUUUUGUGGGUUCCAACCCCACAUCAGGCUCUGCACUGACAGUGCAGAGCCUGCUUGGGACUCUCUCUCCCUGUCUCUCUGCCCCUCCUCAGCUCAUUCUGUCUCUCUCAAAAUACAUAAACUUAAAAAAAAUUUUUUUAAUGAAAUGUUUAAAAAUUUCUGCCUUCUAUUACCAAAAUACAAAAUUGUAUUUUAGUGGCUAGAGCAGCUGAUUAAUUUUUAGCAUGAUAUAACUUCUUCUUUUUGCUAUAAUACACAGGGAAAAUGUGAUGAUGGUGUCUAGAAAAAUUAGCAGAAUAAUUUAGGAUCCAUAUUUAACUAAUGGAAUUAUUUCAUAAUCCUUAUUUAACUAUUCCUUCAAAACUAUAUCAGAGACCAAUAUGCAUAUAUAAAUUUGCUUAAGAAUGCCACAUUUUUAUAAAUAAUUUUAGCUGUAUAUUAUAUUGUAUUAUUAUAAAUUAAGUAAUAAAAGCCUUAGAUAAGGAUCAUGUUGAGGCACCUGGGUGGCUCAGUUGGUUAAGCAUCUGACUUUGGCUCAUGUCAUGAUCUCAUGGUUUUUGAGUUCAAGCCCCAUAUUGGGCUCUGUGCUGACAGCUCAGAGCCUGGAGCCUGCUUCAGAUUCUGUCUCCCUCUCUCUCUGCCCAACCCCUGCUUAUAUCUGUCUGUCUGUCUCUGUCUCUCUCUCUCUCUCUCUCUCAAAAAUGAGUAAAUGUUAACAAUUUUUUUAAAAAGAUCAUGUUUUAUCAUUAUAAUAAAAAAUAAAUUAAUUUAUAUUACAUAAAAGUUGAUUUAGUCUUAUUUGGUUGCUUUUAAUAAUCUGUUUAAAUUAUACAUUCUUAGAAAAUUUUUUUCUUGAAGGGCACCUGCGUGGCUCAAUCGCUUAACCAUCGGAAUUAGGCUCAGGUCAUGAUCUUACAGUUCAUGAGUUUGAGCCCCACAUAGGGCUCUGUGCUGACAGCAUGGAGUCUGGAGCUUGUUUGGAGUUCUGUGUCUCCCUCUCUCUCUGCCCCUCCCCUGCCCCUGCUCACACUCUGUCUCUCUCAAAAAUAAAUAUUUUUAAAAAUUGCAAAAAAUUUUUUUCUUGGUUAAAUGUAUCAUUUCUGAAUCAGCACCUGACUUAAACCCACAAAGUUCAAGGGAGAAUAUCCUCUUCCAGAAAGUCAUGUGCUUCCUAGAACAGGGUUUUGGCUACUUGGAAUUUCACCAGUUACCUGCAGGUGAUAUUUAAUCUUCAUGGUGAUUUUUCUUUCAUAAGAAUAUGGUAAAUUAAUUGCAAUUUUAAUUAUCUACUUUAUUUCUUUUCUUUACUACUACCAUCAUAAAUUUAAGUGAUGUAUUAAUUUAACUAUUUAGUGGAUUUGCAGUCUAACUAAUACACACACACACACACACACACACACACACACACAUAUUUUAAAAUAAUCUCUAUUCCCAAUGCAGGGCUUGAACUGAGGACCAUGAGAUCAAGUGUCGCAUGCUGUACCGACUGAGCCAGCCAGGUACCCUUAACCAGCUUAUAUUUUAAUUAUAAUUGCAAGAGAUGCUAUAUUUCAAAAUCUCACCUACCACACAAAAAAAACAGUUUUCUCAUGUGAAUGCCUUCUGUAUGAAUGAUAAGUGAUAUAUUCCCCGAGUUCUAUGCGGUCAGGAAUUGUAUAUUUCUUCUCCAUGUUCAUACCCAUUUAUGCAUCAUUAUGUACUUGGUUGCUUUUUUUUUCUUUUCUUUUCUUUUUAAGUAAUUUCUGCAUUUGACAUGGGGCCUGAACUCCAGACCUCAAGAUCAAGAGUCACAUGCUCUACCAACUAAGACAGCCAGGCACUCUGUAUUACAUUAUGUAUAUAGUGGAUACUUUGUAGUAUCGAUGAAAUGAUCAAUUGAAGACUAAGUAAAAUAUAUUUACUUUUUAAUAUACUUUUUAAUGUACUUAAAAUAUACUUUUUAUUUUAUUUUAUAUUUUAUGAAAUAUACUUUAAUAUACUUAAAAUAUAAAAAUAUACUUUUUAAUAUACUUUAAAAGCUUAUCACCAAAUAGGUGAGAUAAUACAAAUGCACAAACAACUAUUAUGAUGCAAGAUGUGUAAAGUAAAAAAUAUCAUGUACCAGUUUCUAUAGAAACAGAGAGAAAUAUUCAAAUAUGAAAAUAAGUGAAGAUUUCAAGGUAGAAUUAAUAUUAGUGAUAAAGGAGAUUUAAAAAAUAGGUCCCAGGGUGCCUGGGUGGCUCAGUCAUUUAGGCAUCUGACUCUUGAUUUCAUCUCAGGUCCUAAUCUCACAGGUCCAUGAGUUUGAGUGCCACAUCAAGCUCCAUGAUAAAAGUGUGAAGCUUGCUUGGGAUUCUGUCUCUCUCCCUCUCUCUCUGCUCCUCCCCCAUUAAUUCUCUCUCUCUCUCUUUCUCUCUCUCUCUCUCUCACUCUCAAAAUAAAUAAAUAAACUUUAAAACUAAAAAAUAGGCCCCAAUAAAGUUUUAAAUCAAACAUAUUUGAUAUUAUUUGAACCAAUAAAAUUAGGUAGAAAUGUCUGAGGGCUCCAUAAAAGAGGUGUAAGUGGCAAAGAUGUUUCCGAGAAAACAUUAUCACCUGGAUUUCUGUCCAUUUCUUGAUUCUUCAGGGGCUGGCCUAAUAAUCACAGCAUACCUUGAUUUUGCUCAGGGGACUUCGACAUGUCUUUGAGCUGAGCCAGUGCCUCUUCAGAAACCCACAAGGUAAGCAGAAAGCAGAUCGUUCUGAUCCAUUGUCUCUCAAGUAUGGGGUAAUUAUUGUGAAUGAGUAAAUACCAUGCUUCCCAGCAUUAGGAAUUGGGAAAGAUAGAAGAGAAUAUUACUCAUCUUAGUUUUCUCCUUUGGGUUUCUGACUCUUCCUUUGAGGCACUAGUACCAAAACUUACUUGGCUAUAGGAAUGAUUAUGAACUUUAUGAUUCAUUAAAAAAAACAUUUAUUGAGCUCCAAUGUUAAUACUAGACAUUGAGUAAAAAGCUGAAGCCAAAAGUGAAAAAAAAUAGGUGGUCAUUGACCCUACAGAGUGGAAAAGAGGAGACACUCAUUUAAGUUUUGUUUUUAUUAAAAAAAUAUUUUUUAACAUUUAUUUUUGAGAGAGAGAAAAUGAGCAUGAGUGGGGGAGGGGCAGAGAGAGAGAGGGAGACAGAAUCCGAAGCAGGCUCCAGGCUCCGCGCUGUCAGCACAGAGCCUGAUGCGGGGCUCAAGCAUGUGAACCAUGAGAUCAUGACCUGAGCCAAAGUCGGACGAUUAACCGACUGAGCCACCCAGGUGCCCCCUCAUUUAAGUUCUUAUAAUAUUAUUAAAUAUCUUUGAAAGUCUUGUUAUAUUUUAAAUAAGUUAUUUAGAGAUGUAAUAGUUUGUAUUUUAGUAAUUUGUGAGUUGAUCUUAUGAAGCAUGAGUGAUCAAGUGUUUUUUUGUUUCUUCAUUUAUUCUUUCUUUUUCAUUGAGGUAUCAUUGACAUAUGAUGUUAUAUUAGUUUCAGGUAUACAACUUGAUAAUUUGAUAUAUGUAUAUAUCGGAAUAUUGUGAAAUAAUUACCAUAAUAAGUCUUGUUAACAUCUGUCACCUACACAUUGUUACAGAUAUUUUUCUUGUGAUGAGAACUUUUAAGAUCUGCUCUCUUAGCAACUUCCAAAUAUACAAUGCAGUAUUAUUAACCAUAGUCAACAUGCUGUACAAUACAUCACCCAAGACUUAUUUAUUUAUUUAUUUUUUUACUGUUUAUUUAUUUUUGAAAGAGAGAAACAGAGAGUACAAGUGGGGGAGGGGGAGAGAGCGGGAGAGAGAGAGAAUCCCAAGAAGGCCUGGCAUUGUCAGCAUGGAGCCCAACGCAGGGCUUGAUUUCACAAACCGUGAGAUCAUGAACUGAGCCGAAAUCAAGAGUCAAACACUUGACUGACUGAGCCACCUAGGCACCCCAGUAGUGUGGUUUUUAGAAUGUAGCAAAAGCUACAAUUUCCUCAGGAAAAUGAGGUUGGUUGUGAGGUUCAAACAAGAACCAUGAGAAGAGGCUUAGAAACUGUGAAAGGUACUAAUCACCAUUAGUAGUAGUAGUAGUAGACCCUGUUUUAGAGCCUCCCCUAGUGGUAAUGAGCUGGGAAGUGUUUAAUAUAUUAAAUACAACUAUAUGCUCAACCGACUGAGCCACCCAGGCGCCCAUAAAUAUAACUAUAUGCAAUAUACUUUACUCGGAAGACAAAUCAGCAUUGUCUUCAAUAGUAUCAAGAAUGGCAUCAAAUUUGGGGCACCUGGGUGGCUCAGUCGGUUAGGCAUCCGACUUCAGCUCAGGUCAUGAUCUCACAGUCUGUGAGUUCAAGCCCCAUGUGACACUCAGAGCCUGGAGCCUGCUUCCGAUUCUGUGUCUCCCUCUCUCUCUGCCCCUCCCCCGCUCAUGCUCUGUCUCUCUCUGUCUCAAAAAUAAAUAAAAACAUUAAAAAAAUUUUUAAAAAAGAAUGGCAUCAAAUUUGGGGCACCUGGGUGGCUCAGUAGGACAAGCGCCCAACUUUGGCUCAGGUCAUGAUCUCACCACUCAUGGGUUCAAGCCCCGAGUCAGGCUUUGUGCUGACAGCAAGCAGCCUUAAGCCUGCUUCAAAUUCUGUGUCUCCCUCUGUCUCUUCUCUGCCCCUCCCCCACUUGCUCUCUCUCUCUCUCUCUCUCAAAAAUAAAUAAAACAUUAAAAAUUAAUUUUUAAUUUUUUUUAGGUUUAUUUACUUUGAGAGAGACAGAGACAGUGCAAGUGGGGGAAGGGCAGAGUGAGAGAGAGAGAGAGAGAGAGAAUCCCAAGCAGGCUCCACAUCUCCAGUGCAGAGCCUGACUCGGGACUUGAACUCACUAGGCAAGAUCAUGACCUGAACCGAAACCAAGAGUUGAAUGCUUAACUGACUGAGCCACUCAGGGACCCCACAUUUAAAAUUUUUUUAAUGUUUUAUUUAUUUAUUUUGAAGGAGAGAGAGAGAGAGAGAAACAGAGAGAGCAUGCCAGCAGGGGAGGGGCAGAGAGAGAGGGAGACAGAGGAGGAUCCGAAGUAGGAUGCUUGCUGUCAGUGCAGAGCCCUAUGUGGGGCUCCAACUCAUGAGCCAUGAGAUCAUGACCUGAACCAAAAUCAAGAGUCCAAGGCUUGACUGACUGAGCCACCUAGGCACUGCUAAAUUUUUUAAUUUUUUAAAAAAUUUAAGCAUAGCUGACACACAAUGUGACACACAUUACACUAAUGCAAUUAGUUUCAGGUAUACCAGCUAGGGAUUCAACAAGUUUGUAUGUUACAUUAUCCUCACCACAAGUAUGGCUCUUAUAAAAUGUUCUUACAAUAGUUAUCACAGUGCAUAUGAACAUAACUUCUUGUUGAGAAAUGAAGACGUUUUCUGAAAGAAAGUAAAUCCAAUUUUGCUGGUUAGAUUGAUAAUGAGGACUAGCUUUGAAACUUCUUUAUGUGUUGGGAAUUUUCUAUACCUAUACUGACCAACACAGUAGGCUUUACCCAUGUGUAGCUAAGGUUAACUGUGGAAUUGAAUUUUUUUAAGUUUAUUUGUUUAUUUUGAGAGAGAGAGAGCGUGCACACACACAUGCAAGCAGGAGAGAGAGAGAAUCCUAUGCAGGCUCUGUGCUGUCAGCGCAGGGCCUGAUGCAGGGCUCAGACUCAUGAACAAUGAGAUCAUGACCUGAGACAAAAUCAAGAGUUGGAUGCUCAACCAACUGAGCCAAUCAGGUGCCCCUGGAAUUGAAUGUUUAAUUUAAUUUAAUUUUUUUGAGGGAGAGAGUGCACAGGGGGUAGGGGGAGGGAGACAGGAAGAGAGAGAAACCCAAGCAGGCUCCCUGCAGUCAGUGUGGGAGCCUGAUUCCACAAACAGUGAGAUCAUGACCUGAGCCAAAAUCAAGGGUCAGACAUUUAACCGACUAAGCCACCCAGGUGCCUCACAGGAGAGAGAGAAUUCCAAGCAGGCUCCAUGCUCAUUGUGGAGCCCAACACAGGGCUCCAUCUCACCACAGUGAGAUCGUGACUUAACCUGAAAUUAAGAGUCAGACAUUUAACUGACUGAGCUACUCAGGUGGCCUGAUUUUUCAAUUUUAAAGUUAAAAACCAAAACAGUGUAAAUUUUAUUAUAUUUUUGAAAUGAUGAUAUUUCUAUAUAUUGAUCUCAAUGAAAUACAUUUUUAAAUUCAUUUUACCAGUCUCCUUUAACUUUUUUUAGUGUGGCUACUGGAAAAAUUAGAAUUAUGUAUGUGACUCACAUUCUGUUUCUGCUGGACAUCACUGUUCUGUACGUUGUCUGAACUAAAUCUGGAACUUCAAUGUUUCAACAAAAAUAUAUUCAAGCUAUUUGAUAAGAUAAAAGAAUGUUACCAAAAAUUUUGUAUAGAAUUUAACAAUAUUUAAUAUUCUAACCUUUCCUUAUUAAACAAGGUACCUCUAAUAGAAGAAUAUUGGAUACAAUUUGCUAAACUUUCUCACAAAAUGAGAAAGUGAAUGACUCUAAUAACUGAGUAACAAUUUUUUUGGGGGAGUCAGGUAUUUUCUAAUUCUUUCCUACCAAAAUCCAAAGGAAGAACUAAUACAAUUGGUAGCUAUUUGAUCAUUAAGAAUAAUUUUUGAAAAUAGAAAAUUAUGUGAUUUUUGGUAUAUAACUAGGAAGAAGUUCAAAGAAUUGGAUGACGGCAAUAACAAAAUUCCUUCCAUUUAUGUCUACUCAUAUAUGUGGACAAGGUUUCUCAGAGCUGAUUGAUGUUGAAUCUGUCUCAUUCUAGUAAUAACUAAUAUUCAUUCACAGAUACUUAAGCUAAUUGAAAAAAAUUUUAAGUCCCAUUCGUGUCAAUAAGAUAUGCAAUUCUGGGCUGCCUGGGUGGCUCAGUUGGUUGGGCAUCUGAUUUCGGCUCAGGUCAUGAUCUCACACUCCAUGAGUUCAAGCCCUGCAUCAGGCCCUGUGCUGACAGCUCAGAGCCCCUCCCCUCCUCAUGUUCUGUCUCUCUCUCUCUCUCCUUUAAAAGUAAAUAAACAUUAACAAAAAAUUUUUUAAAAAGAUAUGCAAUUCCAAUAAAAUUUUUUUCUUUCUUUUUUUUUUUAAGUUUAUUUAUUUUGAGAGAGAGAAUCACAGGCAGGCUCUACAUUGUCAGCACAGCGCCCCACACGAGACUUGAACUCACGAACCAUGAGAUCAUGACCUGAGCCAAUAUCAAGAGUUGGUCCCUCAACUGACUGAGCUACCCAGGCACCCUAAAUUUUAUUUUUUCUUAAUAAUUAUUUAUCAUAAUUAUAUUAAUGUUAUUUUAAUCAAUUGUAUAAUAGUAAUAAUGGUAACAAUAUCUCAAUCCAGAAGAAAUGUUUUUAACACUCAGGUGGUUUUUUAAAUGAAAUUAUAUGUAUCAGUAUAUAUAGUACAAAAGUAUGAUAUGUGAUCAAUAAAAGACUUCAAGAGGGGUGCCUGGGUGGCUCCGUUGGUUAAGCAUCUGACUUCAGCUCAGGUCAUGAUCUCACAGUUCAUGAGUUUGAGCCCCGCAUCGGGCUCUAUGCUGACAGCUCAGAGCCUGGAGCCUGCUUUGGAUUCUGUGUCUCCCUCCCUCUCUCUCUGCCCCUUCUUCCCUCUCUCUCUCUCUCAAAAAUAAACAAACAUUAAAAACAUUUUUUAAAUAAAUAAAACACUUCAGGAGUUCUGGUACUGGGCCAAGAUAGAGUAAUCCCACUACAGCCUAUCUUUCUCAAUGAUUACAACUAAAAACUCUGGACAAAAUACAUAAAGCAACAUAUCUGCUACUUAAAACAUAGUAGCAGAUAGAUUGAGGAGGGGAACCAAAGCUGAAGAAAAACACAUACAGUUUCCCACAUUUUCCUCUUUUUUCUCUUUGUUUUGACUCAAAGACAGCCACAUAACUAUACAUAACUGUACAGUUGAUACAGGUAUCAAAAACCCCUAGAGAAAUCCUACAUUUCUGGUCAGAAGAGCAGGAAAGGGGUUCCUAUAAGCAAGAGAGUAUGGAGCAAUCCUCCUUGUUGUUGUUUUUUUCUUUUGCCUUACCCCAAGGACAACCCCAGUCACAGAGCUGUAUUGUGGUGGCAGUGGCACAGGCAUUUAAAAUCCCAGUGAGAAAUCUUUCAGUCCAGAGGAACUAAGAUAAAGUGAACCUGUGAUCUGAAAGUGUGUGUGUGUGUGUGUGUGUGUGUGUGUGUGUAGGGAAUCCCCCUUAUGUUUUUCUUUCUUUUCUCUAAUUGCUUUGCCCCAAUGUUGGUCCCAAUCAUGCAGAAUUGUGUGACAGCUAAACCUCCAAGACAAAGCUCAUUUUUCUAGUCAGAGAACUAAAGAAGGGGACUGUGAUAGCUGGAGAGUGUGGGGAAAAUCUGAAUAUGGGAGAGGUGGAGAAGAGACUCCCUUAUUUCUGAUUAAUAAAAGUGAUAAACCUCUGGCAAUACUGACAAGAAAAAUGAGAGAAGACACAAAUUAUCAUUAACAGGAAUGAAAGAGGGGAAACAUUACUACAGACUCUACAGACAUCCAAAAGAUAAUGACAAUACUGCAAGCAAGUCCCAUAAAUCAAAUUACCAAGAGAAAUAGACCAAUUCUUUGAAGGACACAAAGAACCAAAACUCACAUAAGAAGAAAUAGAUAACCUGCAUAAUUCUAUAUUUAUUAAAGACAUUGAAUUUGUAAAAAUCCUCCAACAAGGAAAAUUUCAGUCUAACAAACAUUUAAGGAAGAAGUAAUACCAGUAAAUAGAAGGGAAUACUUUCCAACUUAUAUUAGGAAUCCUGUAUUACUCUGAUUUCCCAAACCAGAGAAAGAGUACAAGAAAUUAAAGCAACAGAUCAGUAUCAUUAAUGAACAUAGAUGAAACAAUCUUCCACAAAACAUUAGCAAAUGGAAUCUAGUAGGAGUUAUCCUGGGAAUGCAAGGCUGGCUCAACACUCAAAAAUCAACCAAUGUAACUCAUCAUUUCAACAGACUAAGGAAGAAAAGGUAUAUGAUCAUCUCAAUAGGUGCAGAAAAAUCAUUUAACAAUUCAACAUUUAUUUAUGAUUUUAAAAAAACUCUCAGCAAACUAUGGAUAAAAGGAACUUUCUCCUGAAAGAGAAUGUCUACAAAACAUUGCAGCUAAUAUACAUAAUAGGAAAGACUGAAUGCUUCUUCCUUAUAUCUGAAGAAGGCAAGGAUGUCUGCUCUUAUUCACAUUAAACAUUUUAUUGGAAAUUAUAACCAGUGCAAUAAAGCAAGAAUAAGAAAAGACAUAUAGAUUUGAAAAGAAAGAAUAAAACUAUCUCUAUUCUCAGACAAUAUGAUUGUCUAUGUAGACAUCAAGGAAUCUACAAAAAAGCUCCUAGAACUAAUAAGUAAGUUUAGUAAAGUCACAGAUUAUUAGGUUAAUAUUAAAAAUCAAGUGUAUUUUUAUAUUCUAGGAAUGAACAAUUAGAAUUUAAAAUUUUUAAAACUACUGGAGCACCUGGGUGGCUCAAUUGGUUAAGCGUCCAACUUUGGCUCAGGUCAUGAUCUCAUGAGUUUGAGCCCCGCAUCGGGCUCUGUGCUAACAGCUCAGAGCCCAGAGCCUGCUUCAGAUUCUGUGUCUCCCUCUUUCUCUCUCUCUCUACCCCUCCUCCACUCCAGCUGUCUCUCUCUGUCUCAAAAAAUAAACAUUAAAAAAAAUAAAAAAAUUUAAAGUACGAUUCAAAACAAUAAAUAAAAAUUAAAAAAUAAAAAAGUAACCACUUAUAAUAGUACCCCAAAAAUAUAAUCUCUAGGUAUAAGUCUAACAAAAUAUGUGCAGGAUCUAUAUACUGAAAGCUACAAAACACUGAUGGAAGAAAUUAAAGUCUAAAUAAGUAGGGAGAUAUGCUAUGUGAGAAUAUUAGAACAUUUAGUAUUGUUAUGAUAUUGAUUCUCUCCAAAUUGAACUAUGGAUUCAAUGUGAUCACAGUCAAAAUUUCAGCCUGGUUUUUUAGAUAUAUAUGGGCAAGCUUAAUAUAAAAUUUUAUAUGAACAGGCAAAGGAAUUAGAAUAACCCAAGCAAUUUUGUAGAAGAGCAAAGUUGGAGGGCUGCUACUACCAGAUUUUUUAUAAAAUGUUUAUUUUGAGAAAGAGAGUGCCUGCUCAUGUGUGAGGGGUGGAGGGGCAGAGGGUGAGGGAGAUAGAGAAUUCCAAGCAGGCUCCAUGCUCAGCACAAAGCCUGAUGCAGAGCUGGAUCUCACAACUGUGAGAUCAUGACUGUGAGAUCAUGACCUGAGCCAAUAUCAGGAGUCAGACACUUAACCAACUAAGCCACCCAAGCACCCCUGCUACUAUCAGAUUUUAAGAUUUAGUAUAAAGUUAUACAAUCAAGAUAGCAUACUAUUAGUGAAAGACAUAUGCAUCCAUGGAACGGGAUCGAGAUCUGAAAGAGACCCACACAAAACCCACAACUGAUUUUUGACAAAUGUGCAGAGUCAACUCAACAGAGAAAGACAGUAUUUUCUAGCAGUAGUGAUGGAACAACUAGAUAUCCAUAGGCAAACAAUAAGAAAACAAAAACAAAAGGCACUUUGACCGAUACUUCACAUACUUUAUACAAAAACUAGCCCAAAAGAAGUGGACAGAAAUGUAAAGUUACAACCAAAAAACUUAUGGAAGAAAAAUAUAAGAAAAUAUUUGUGGCCUUGGGUUAAGCAAAGGGUAGUUAGAUAUAAUACCAACAGCAAAAUUCACAAAAGAAAAAAAUGAUAAAUUGAUCUUCGUUAAUAUUAACCUCUGCUCUGUAAAGAAAGGGAUCUGGUUAAGAGAAUGAAUGACAGGCUGCAGACUGGGAGAAAUAUUUGCAAAUCACAUAUCCAACAAAGGACUUUAAUCCAAAAUAUGUAGGGAAUUUACAAGACACAACAAAACCUUAUGACAAAAGAGCCAAGAAUAUGCAGUAGGUAAAGGAUAGUCUCUUCAGUAAAUGGUGUUGGGCAGGGCACCUGGAUGGCUCAGUCGGUUAAGUGUCUGACUUCAGCUGAGGUCAUGGUCUCAUGGUUCAUGUGUUCGAGCCGAGUUGGGGUCUAUGCUGACAGCUCAGAGCCUGGAGCCUGCUUCAGGUUCUGUGUCUCCCUCUCUCUGCACCUCCCCCGCCUGUGCUCUGUCUCUCUCUCUCUCUCUCUCAAAAAUAAAUACACCUUAAAAAUAAGAAAAUGGUAUUGGAAAACUGGACAUUCACAUUCAAAAGAGUAAAGCUGGACCACUAUCUUUUACCAUAUACAAUUAUCAACUCAAAAUGGAUUAAAGACUUGAACAUAGGGGCGCCUGGGUGGCGCAGUCAGUUAAGCGUCCGACUUCGGCCAGGUCACGAUCUCGCGGUCCGUGAGUUCGAGCCCCGCAUCGGGCUCUGGGCUGAUGGCUCGGAGCCUGGAGCCUGUUUCCGAUUCUGUGUCUCCCUCUCUCUCUGCCCCUCCCCCGUUCAUGCUCUGUCUCUCUCUGUCCCAAAAAUAAAUAAACGUUGAAAAAUUAAAAAAAAAAAAAAAGACUUGAACAUAAAACCUAAAAUCAUAAACUUCCUAGAAGAAAACGUAGGGAGUAAACUCCUAGACAUCAGUCUUAGAGAUGAUUUUUUUGAAUUUGACACCAAAGCAAAAGCAACAGAAGCAAAAAUAAACAAGUGGCACUACAUCAAACUAAAAACUUUCUGAAUAGCAAAGGAAAGCAUCAAUGAGAUGAAAAGGUAACCUACAGAAUAUGAAACACUAUUUGUAAAUCACAUAUUUGAUAAAAGGUUAAUACCCAAAAUAUAUAUUAAAAAAAAACUCAGACAACUCAAAAGAAAACAAACAAUCCAAUUAAAAACUCAGCAGAGGAUCUGAAUAGACAUUUUUCCAAAAAGGACAUACAGAUGGCUAACAGAAAUAUGAAAAGGUGCUCAGCAUCACUAAUCAACAAGGAAAUGCAAAUUAAAACCACAAUGAGAUAUCACCUCACACCUGUUAGAAUGACUGUCCUCGAAAAGAUAAGAGGUGCACCUGAGGGGCUCGGUUGGAUGAGCAUCUGACUCUUGAUUUUGACUCAGAUCAUGAUCUCACGGUUUGUGAAAUCGAGCCUCCCUUUUUGGGCUCCAUGUUGACAGCUCAGAGCCUGCUUGAGAUUCUCUCUGUUCCUCUCUCUUCUCCUCCCCACUCAUGCUCUCUCUCUUUCUGAAAAAAAGCAAGUAAACGCUUAAAAAUUAAAUAAAUAAAUAAAUAAAUAAAUAAAUAAAAAUAAAGAUAAGAGAUAUUAAGUGCUAGGAAGGAUGUGGAGAAAGGGAACCCUUGUGUACAUUGUGGGAAUGCAGCUACAAUGGAAAACAGUAUGGAGGCUCCUCAAGAAAAUAAAAAUAGAAUAACCAAAUAAUCCAGUAAUUUCACUCUGGGAAUUUAUGCAAAGAAAAUGAAAUCACUAUCUUGAAAGAUAUCUGCACCCGCCAUAUUCACUGCAGCAUUAUUUAUAGUAGCCAAAACAUGGAAACAACCUAAGUGUCCAUCGAUGGAUGAAUGGAUAAAGAAAAUGUGAAAUAUGACAUAUGUGAAAUAUUGUUCAGCCAUAAAAAAGAGGGAAAUCCUGCCACUUGCAACAACAUGGAUGAACCUUGCGGGCAUUAUACUAGGUGAAAUAAGUCAGACAGAAAAAAGAUUAAUAUUGUAUGAUUUCAGAGGCACCUGGGUGGCUCAGUUGUUAAGCAUCUGACUUCGGCUCAGGUCAUGAUCUCAUGGUUCAUGGGUUCGAGCCCCUCAUUGGGCUCUGUGCUGACAGGUCAGAGCCUGGACUAUGCUUUGAAUUCUGUGUAUCUCUCUCUCUCUCUCUCUCUGCCCCUCCCCCACUCAUGUGGGCCCACCUGCGCACAUGCGUGCACUCUCUCUCAAAAAUAAAUAUUUUUAAAAAUAUUGUAUGGUUUCAUUUACAUGUGGAAUCUAAAAACAAAAAAAACCCAAAUGCAUAAAAACAUUUUGAUGGUUGCCACAGGCAGGGGGUGGGUGAAAUGGAUGAAGAUGAUCAAAAGACACAAACUUCCAGUAUGAAUCCUAGGGAUGUAAUGUACAGUAUGGUGACUUUAGUUAAUGUAACUGUAUUAUAUAUUAAAAAAUUGCUAAGAAAGUAAGGCUAAAUACAUAUGUGCAAAAUUUUGUAGCUAUGUGUGGUGGUGAAUUAACUAAAUUCUGGUAAUCAUUUUGCAAUAUAUUUAUCUAUCAAAUCAUUAUGUUGUACAACUAAAACUAAUACAAUGUUAUAUGUAAAUUAUAGUUCAGUAGAAAAAAAAGAGGAAAAAAAGAAAACAAACAAUGCAAUACAAAGUACAAGAUUGUGGGGUGCCUGGGUGGCUCAGUUGGUUAGGCGUCCGACUUCGGCUCAGGUCAUGAUCUCAUGGUUUGUGGGUUCGAGCCCCGCAUCUCGCUCUGUGCUGACAGCUCAGAGCCCAGAGCCUGUUUCAGAUUCUGUGUCUGCCUCUCUCUUUGCCCCUCCCCCACUCAUGCUCUGGCUCCCUCUGUCUCAAAAAUAAAUCGACAUUAAAAAAUUAAAAAAAAACCAAAGUACAAGAUUGAUAAAUUAGUCUGCAUUAAAACUAAUGCUUCUGUUCAUCAAAAGACACCAUUAAAGAGGUGGAUGCAUUUGGUGAAAAGCUAAUAGGAAACUUUAUAAAGUUAUAAUGAAUGGAUCCAGCUGACGAACUGGCCAUGUAGCUAGAUUUCAUUAAAUGCUUGUCAUGGUCUUCUGUUUGCCCUCAACUCCAUUCUGUCACCUUGAAUGAUAAAAUUUCCCAGGAUUCCUUGUGUGUAGCCACUUGACUGUUUCCAGACAGUUGAAUGGGAGAAGUAGUAGCAUCAUUUCCAGGACUGGCCCAUAAAACCUUUCAACAGAUGUUACUUAAUUUCCUUUGCCUGUCCAAUGGCAAAGCUACAAGAUAAAAGGGACAAGGGUCUCUUGGUCACUUUUUAAUGGAAAGCUGACCCCAGAAGCCAUCAGAUGAAAAACACCCAUGUAGGAUUGUUGUGUGAAUGAGAAGUAAACUUUUGCUGUAUUUAGCCAUUGAAAUCUCUGGAUGAUUAUUACAGCAGCUAGUCUACCCUACCACAACUCUGACAGUGGCUUUUUUACUGUGUUCUUUGGGGACCCUAAAUCUUCUUAAUGAUGCCUUGAGGGAUGUGGUAGAAACUUAGGGAGCCUACUUCAAUCAGAACAGCCCUCCUUUUAUAUAUUUAAGACAUAAUGUAUGACAUAUGAACACACACAUAUGAUACAUAAUGAUGCACAUGGUGAAGACUUCAAAAGGCACAAAGGGUUCUACAGUAAAAAAAAAAGUCUUUAUUUUUGAGGGAGAGAAAAAGAGAGAGAAAGAGAGAGAAGCAGGGGAGAGGAGCAGAGGGAGAGGGAGCGAAUCUCAAGCAGGCUCCACACUCAGUGCAGAGCUGGACAUGGGGCUCAAUCCCAUGACCGUGAGGUCAUGACCUGAGCCAAAAUCAAGAGUUGGGCACUUAACUGACUGAACCACCCAGGCACAUGCCCCACUACGCCCCCCACCUUGCCCGCCCCUGCCUCACCUGCAAAAUCUUUCACCUUUGUCUUCCAGUCUCCCAUUUGCAUGCCCUAGGAACAAGUUCUGUUACCCAUUUCCUGAGUUUAAGUGACGAUUCAUAUACAUAUAAACAAUAUGUACUGGUUGUAUGUUUAACCAAUUCCUUCUUUAAAUUUUUUUUUUUUCAAUGUUUUUAUUUAUUUUUGGGACAGAGAGAGACAGAGCAUGAACGGGGGAGGGGCAGAGAGAGAGGGAGACACAGAAUCGGAAGCAGGCUCCAGGCUCCGAGCCAUCAGCCCAGAGCCCGACGCGGGGCUCGAACUCACGGACCGCGAGAUCGUGACCUGGCUGAAGUCGGUCGCUUAACCGACUGCGCCACCCAGGCGCCCCAAACCAAUUCCUUCUUAAUGGCAAAUUAGUGUAUUUCCAAUCUUUUGCUAAUAUAAACCAUGGCACAAUAAAUACUCUUGAAUAAAAGUCAUUUUACACAUAUGCAAGUAUGUGGAUCUAUAAAAAUGGAUUUCUAGUAUUAGAAUUGCCAGAUUAAGAGGUAUAUGCAUUUUACAUUUUGAUUAACAGUGCCAAGUUGCUUUCCGUAGGGUUGUACUAAUUUCCAUUUUUACUAUUACUGUACAACUGGGUCUGGCUCUGCACAUUCUUUUCAAUGCAGCAUAUGAUCAAAUUUUGGUUCCUUACUACCUUGAUAAUGUGAAAAACGGCAUUUCAUUGUAAAUUAGUGAGUGUUUCUCUUUUCAUGAGUGAGGUUUUAUAUCUUUCACAUGUUUAAAAGCCACGUGCGGGGCGCCUGGGUGGCUUAGUCUGUUGAGCUUCCGACUUCGGCUCAGGUCAUGAUCUCACGGUCUGUGACUUCGAGCCCCGCGUCGGGCUCUGUGCUGACAGCUCAGAGCCUGGAGCCUGCUUCAGAUUCUGUGUCCCCUCUCUCUCUGACCCUCCCCCGUUCAUGCUCUGUCUCUCUCUGUCUCAAAAAUAAAUAAAACAUUUAAAAAAAAAUAAUACAUAAAUAAAAGCCACGUGCAUUCCCUUUUCUGUGAACCGAACUCUUCAUUUUCCUUAUUGAUUGGUGUGAGUCCUUUAAAUAUUAAAGGAAAUGGAUCUACAUUAUAUAAUAGGGUUAAGAUCUUUCAAUAGAUAAAUUCAGCUGCUAAAACCAAAGUUUGAAAAUCACCGCCUAUGCUGCUUUUUAACAUAGCCUUGCUAAUAAAAACCUUCCCCUCAUUCCCUUGGGAAUCUUUGUCAGUUGGAGUCCCAUCCAGUAUCACUUGCCCUGUGGUUGAAACUCUAGGACAGACUUUCUCAACUGUGGCACUGCUGAUGUUUUGGCUGGAAAAUUCUUUGUUAGGGGCUGCCCUCUGCAUCGCAGAAUGUUGAGAAGUAUGACUGGCCUCUAUCUGCUGAAUGUCAGUUGUACCUUCCCUACGUCCCCCACUAAAAAAUGUCUUCAGGGGCGCCUGGGUGGCUCAAUUGGUUAGGCGUCUGACUCUUGAUUUCUGCUCAGGUCAUAAUCUCACGGUUCAUGCAUCUGGCUGCAUCUGGCUCUGCACUGGCAGUGAGAAGCCUGCUUGGGUUUCUCUCUCUCCAUUUCUCUCUGCUCCUUCCCAGCUCGUGCACACGUACUCUCUCGCUCUCUCUUUUUCAAAUAAAUAAACAAGAAAAAAAUGUUAAAAAUCCUCUGGAGGGUAGGGGAGCAAAAUUGCCCCAGUUGAGAACCACUGGUCUAGGACUUUAUAUAGCUGGUGGAAGGCAGGCCACAUUAUCAGCCUAUCUAUUUGCUUUAGUUUGGACAUCCCACACAUCUCCCCAAAUGGUGUUUGAUAAUAUAUAGAAUACUAAGUUCUGUAUGGAAGUACAAUACUUGUAUUAUAAACUGAUCAAAAAGACUAAAUAAUAUACAUGAAACCAUAAAAGAAUAGCAUCUGCUAAACUUGUGGUUAUACCUUGGAAAUUUAAAAAGAAGUAGUUUAAGACAGGCAAGUCAGCUACCACUUAAGCCUCACAGGGUUGGAGGGGCUUGAGGAGACCCCCAGAAUCCAGAUUCUAGCCCUCAGACUGUAGUUUCAAAAAAUGGACCCUUUUUUCCUUUAUGUAUACAUAUGUGUAUAUAUGUAUAUGUAUGUAUAUAUGUAUAUAUAUAUAUAUAUAUAUAUAUAUAUACACAUAUAUAUAUUCUCAUUUUAAUAUAUGAAAUUUUAGCAAGAAACAUUUAUUGAUGUGUCCCUAACCCUCGUAUCUAUGCCUACCUCCUCUAUCAGGGAUGUUAAAAUGUUAACAUUUUGACAUUAACUUUCCAUACUUUUCCCAAGUCUGUACAGCCAUAUCUGUAUAGAGGUUUGUAUAUACGUAUUUAGGGGUCUUAUUUUUUAUUUAUUUAUUUUUUUAAGUAGCCUCCAUGCCCAGCACAGAGCCCAAAAUGGAGCUUGAACUCAUGACCCUAAGAUCAAGACUUGAGCUGAGAUCAAGAGUCAGAUGCUUUACUGACUGAGCUACCCUGGCACCCCCUAUAGGGAUUUUAAAAAUAAUAAAAAAGUGGGUAUUUGUUAAAUAAUAGAAAAGGUCAUAGUAUACACAUUUUUGUGCAACUUGCUUUGUCACAGUGCAUCAUGAACAUUUUUUGAGAUCAGUUAUAGAUCAUUUUAAUGGUUGAAUAAUAUGCCAUAGUAAGUGUAUACCAUAAUUUGAUCAACAGGUUUCCUACUGAAGACAUCUGGAUUGUUUCUUUUUUUUUCUUUUCCUGCAACAUCAAUACCAUAAUAAACAUUCUUGCAUUCAUGGCCUUACAUAUUCAUACUUUUAUUUUGUUAAGAUAAAUGGAAUUUUGGAUUGAAAGGUAUGUAUAUAUUUAUAGUUUUAAUAAAUACUCCAGAUUACUUUCCAAGACUAUAAUAGCAAUGUAUGAGAGUAUUAGUUCCCCCAUAUCCUGGUAAGCAAUAGAUGGCAAUAAUAAAAUUUGCUUUGUGUUUGCCUAUGUAAGAAAUGAAAAAUGGGUACCUCAUUGUUUUACUUGCAUAUCUGUGACUACUAAUAAAUUUGAGCAUAUUUUAAAUUUUUAUGUAGUCAAAUAUGCAUUUCAUUUUUUAAUUUAAUUUUUUUAUUUAAUUUAAUUUUUUUGGUGGAGCAUAUGGGGAAAUACAGAUUUUAUAUGGCUCCUGUCCUGGGGUGCCUGGGUGGCUCAGUUGGUGAAGCAUCUGACUUUUGAUUUUGGCUCAGGUCAUGAUCUCACAGUUUGUGAGUUCAAGCC